rnacentral:rRNA from 1 species
GGGUUGUGAGGUUAAGCGACUAAGCGUACACGGUGGAUGCCCUGGCAGUCAGAGGCGAUGAAGGACGUGCUAAUCUGCGAAAAGCGCCGGCGAGGUGAUAUGAACCUUUGACCCGGCGAUGUCCGAAUGGGGAAACCCAGUGCAAUUCGUUGCACUAUCGUUAACUGAAUACAUAGGUUAACGAGGCGAACCGGGGGAACUGAAACAUCUAAGUACCCCGAGGAAAAGAAAUCAACCGAGAUUCCCCCAGUAGCGGCGAGCGAACGGGGAGCAGCCCAGAGUCUGAAUCAGCUUGUGUGUUAGUGGAAGCGUCUGGAAAGUCGCACGGUACAGGGUGACAGUCCCGUACACGAAAGCACACAGGUUGUGAACUCGAAGAGUAGGGCGGGACACGUGGUAUCCUGUCUGAAUAUGGGGGGACCAUCCUCCAAGGCUAAAUACUCCUGACUGACCGAUAGUGAACCAGUACCGUGAGGGAAAGGCGAAAAGAACCCCGGCGAGGGGAGUGAAAAAGAACCUGAAACCGUGUACGUACAAGCAGUGGGAGCACCUUCGUGGUGUGACUGCGUACCUUUUGUAUAAUGGGUCAGCGACUUAUAUUCUGUAGCAAGGUUAACCGUAUAGGGGAGCCGAAGGGAAACCGAGUCUUAACUGGGCGUUAAGUUGCAGGGUAUAGACCCG